rnacentral:rRNA from 1 species
AUUGAACGCUGGCGGAAUGCUUUACACAUGCAAGUCGAACGGCAGCACGGGGGCAACCCUGGUGGCGAGUGGCGAACGGGUGAGUAAUACAUCGGAACGUGCCCAGUCGUGGGGGAGUAACGCAGCGAAAGCUGUGCUAAUACCGCAUACGAUCUAAGGAUGAAAGCGGGGGACCGAAAGGCCUCGCGCGAUUGGAGCGGCCGAUGUCAGAUUAGCUUGUUGGCGGGGUAAAAGCCCACCAAGGCGACGAUCUGUAGCUGGUCUGAGAGGACGACCAGCCACACUGGGACUGAGACACGGCCCAGACUCCUACGGGAGGCAGCAGUGGGGAAUUUUGGACAAUGGGCGCAAGCCUGAUCCAG